CGAUCACGAGGUAAAAUCCGUACAGGUACUGAAAACAUUUAACAUAUUGGUCUAGCAACCGAAGCGUUCACAGUUUUACCAAGCGAAUAACAAUCAUAGCUUCAUUUGUGGUUUAAUUACACAUUCCUUCGUUGUUUUUGGUGUUGGCAAUCAUCCUUUUAAAGGUGUUUGGUUACGAUAGGAGCUCUUGCUUGUUGAAGGGCGCCCGGGCAACAUUUUUCUUGUCGGAAAAUUUGUUUUAUUAGCGCACCGUGAAAGGAUACAAUAUGAAUUCCAGCCAAAGCUCUGUACAAGAGGAAAAUGCAAGCAGCGCUAUGCAAGCACCUCGCCGCCGAAAAACUACCAGCAACGAAGAUAGAGAGCGCGUGGUAACGGCGUAUGAAAACGGAGCCACUGCAGCAACGAUUAGCGAAAUGUUCAAUCUAAAAAAAACGACUGUCCAUGGCAUCAUCAAAAAAUACCAAACUCAAUGGCAAAUCGAGGCAAAGAAGCGUGGUGGCAACAGAUCUAAACUAUUGUCGCAGCAAGCCGUAAAUGAUGUUCGGAACUGGAUCGACGAGGACUGCACGGUGACGCUUAAAGCACUAGCAGAGAAAGUGUUCCAACAACACGGUGUUCGAGUUUCGCCCACAACCAUCGCGAGGGAAAUAAAAGGAUUUAAACACUCUCUGAAGAUGGUCAAACUGUUACCGGAGCGACGCAACACACCAACGGCUAUCGAAGAAAGGAAACAUUACGCCACACAAUUUUGAGAAAUUGCGCGCGGAAUUCCGGAUAAUGGUUUAAUCUUUUAAGACGAAGUUGGAUUCAACGUCAGCAUGCGUACGCUAAAAGGACGAUCGCAGAGAGGAACACCGGCCACCAUCACCGUUCCCACAGUUAAGGACUAGGAACAUCUCCAUCAUUUGUGCCAUGCAUCAGUACGGCGUGCUGCAUUACACCACACACACUCGAUCCGUGAACUGUGAAAGGUUUAUAGAGUUUAUUGAAGAACUCAAGCAAACCCUGCGAUCGAAGAACAUUAACAGCAGCUAAUUUAUAAUGGAUAAUGUAGCUUUCCACAAACCACCCGCAGUAAGAGUUGCAAUCGGAAAUGAUAGCGACAUUCCUUUAUAUCUACCACCCUACACACCAUUUCUUAAUCCAAUUGAUCUUGAAAUCAAUUGAUUGAAAUCUUUUCAGCAAGUGCAAGAGUUUUGUGAGGCGAAGCAAUCCUUCAAAUGAGGAUCAAUUGAUGGAAGCGAUUCGAAAUGGAUCCAGGCUAAUAACCGCACAGGAUUGCGAUGGCUACAUUUCGAAUCUGUGGCAAUACAUGUCCCGUUGGUUGAGGGGCGAAGAAAUUUUAGAUUAAGUUAUAUAUAAAUACAUAUAAGACUAGAAAGUAAGAUUUAAGUUUUAAUGUGUAACAUAUUGUACUGACGAUUCUUAAAAAGAUGAAAUGUAAAUAAUGCUACAGGACGAAUUAAAAUAA